rnacentral:rRNA from 1 species
UAUUAGUCAAUGCUCGUAAGAGUGAACUAGCUAACUGAAAUCAUGUAAGUGUCUUAUGUGAUGUCGUAAGGGAAAAUAAUGAUAUUACCUUACUAAUAGUGUCGUCCAAAACUGGUGCCAGAAGACUCGGUAAGGCCAGAGACACAAAUGUUAAUCGUCAUAAUCAGGCGUAAAGGGUUUGUAGGCUGCUUUAAAAAUACUUAUUUAAUAUAGCCAAAGUAAAUUGUAUCAAUUAAAGCUAGAAUCUAAUAGAGGAUAAUUUUAUUUAAAUAAUGCUUGGUCGAGGUCUUACAUCCGUAGACAUCAGGUGGAGUUCUAAUGGCGUAAGCAUUUAUCCAUUAAAGAUUGACGCUGAGAAACGAAAGUGAGGAUAGGAAAUAGGAUUAGAUACCCAGAUACCCCUCUCUGUCAACGAUGAAUGGUAGUUGUUAGUUAUAAUAUACUAGUGACAAAGUUAACACGUUAACCAUUCCGCCUUGUGAGUACGACUGCAAAGUUGAAAACAAAAAAAUUAGUCGGUUUCGGAGCAAACGAAAUGGAGUAUGUUAUUUAAU